GGAUAACUCAGUCAGUAGAGCAUGAGCCUCUUAAUCUCAGUGUCGUGGGUUCGAGCCCCACGUUGGACG